GUGUCAGCCGCCGCGGUAAAACCAGCACCUCAAGUGGUCAGGAUGAUUAUUGGGCCUAAAGCAUCCGUAGCCGGCUUUGUUAGUUUUCGGUUAAAUCCAUAUGCUCAACAUAUGGGCCGCCGGGAAUACUACAAAGCUAGGGAGUGGGAGAGGUAGACGGUACUCCGUAGGAAGGGGUAAAAUCCUUUGAUCUAUGGAUGACCACCAGUGGCGAAGGCGGUCUACCAGAACACGUUCGACGGUGAGGGAUGAAAGCUGGGGGAGCAAACCGGAUUAGAUACCCGGGUAGUCCCAGCUGUAAACUAUGCAAACUCAGUGAUGCAUUGGCUUGUGGCCAGUGCAGUGCCGCAGAGAAGUCGUUAAGUUUGCCGCCUGGGAAGUACGUACGCAAGUAUGAAACUUAAAGGAAUUGGCGGGGGAGCACCACAAGGGGUGAAGCCUGCGGUUCAAUUGGAGUCAACGCCAGAAAUCUUACCCGGAGAGACAGCAGGAUGAAGGUCAAGCUGAAGACUUUACCAGACAAGCUGAGAAGUGGUGCAUGGCCGUCGCCAGCUCGUGCCGUGAGGUGUCCUGUUAAGUCAGGUAACGAGCGAGAUCCUUGCCUCUAGUUGCCACCAUUACUCUCAGGAGUAGUGGGGCGAAUUAGCGGGACUGCCGUAGUUAAUACGGAGGAAGGAGAGGGCCACGGCAGGUCAGUAUGCCCUGAAACUCUGGGGCCACACGCGGGCUGCAAUGGUAGUGACAAUGUGUUCCGAAUCCGAAAGGAGGAGGUAAGCCUCAAACGCUACCACAGUUAUGACUGAGGGCUAUAACUCGCCCUCACGAAUAUGGAAUCCCUAGUAACUGCGUGUCAUUAUCGCGCGGUGAAUACGUCCCUGCUCCUUGUACACACCGCCCGUC
rnacentral:rRNA from 1 species